rnacentral:lncRNA from 1 species
CUCCACCGCCACCGCCGCCGCCGCCAGCAGCUCCGCUGAUCAGGCCUCCGAGCACAUUCCCCAGGCCCCCGCCCAGACCCCCGCCUCCCCCACCGCCACCGCCGCCCUUCAAGAACGAAUUCACCAAGAACAUGAUCGCAGCUGAGUCCUGGAGAAAACAGCCGGAAAACAGGUCAGCAGAGAGCUGCGUCAGAUGAUGUUGGCAAAGAGAACACAGGGUACCUGAGACACAGCUGCCUAAGUGGAUAACCACAGCCCAGGUGGAAGCGUCCAGUAUCCAGACGCUCCAACUUAGGCUCCCUCAAGGCCUUGGCUCCAGCCCUCCUCAGCCUUGCCAAGUCCCCUCCAGGACAAGGACACAGAACUAAAGUCGCUUUGUUUCUCAGGACCUCUGAGAAAGACUUGGGUCUCUGGCUCCCUACACUAAUGAUUCACUAAAGCUGAUUCCCUAUGGGCUUCCAGAGCUAGACUGCAUUUCCCAUCCUCCUUUGCAGCUGUGUGUAGCCUCUGAACCCUGGCCAGUGUCAUAGGAGCAGAUACUUUGUGUCCAACAUCGGAGACUCUAAUCUACUGCUACUGAUUGACAGAUACUGAGAUCAGCAUGUGGUAAAAAUGAGAUUUCCGGGAUAAAUAAGAGGAGAACAGACACAACAACUGAAGCAUAGAAAAGACAUAUUUGUGCCUUAAAGAAAACGCUUGAUGUCUGGAGUGGUGGGCCAGCUGUUAAGAGCAUUUGUAGAGAUUCUGAGUUCUUUCCCAGCGACCGCAUCAUAUGGCUG